rnacentral:sRNA from 1 species
AGUGGUGCUGGGAGUGUCGUGGACGUCGUGCCGUUACUCGUAGUCAGGCGGCGGCGCAGGCGGCGGCGGCGGCAUAGCGCACAGCGCGCCUUAGCAGCAGCGGCAGCAGCAGCAGCAUCGGAGGUACCCCCGCCGUCGCAGCCCCCGCGCUGGUGCAGCCACCCUCGCUCCCUCUGCUCUUCCUCCCUUCGCUCGCACCAUGGCUGAUCAGCUGACCGAAGAACAGAUUGCUGAAUUCAAGGAAGCUUUCUCCCUAUUUGAUAAAGAUGGCGAUGGCACCAUCACAACAAAGGAACUUGGAACUGUCAUGAGGUCACUGGGUCAGAACCCAACAGAAGCUGAAUUGCAGGAUAUGAUCAACGAAGUGGAUGCUGAUGGUAAGAGCUUUAAAACCAUGAAUGAGGGCCAUUGUUGUGUGAUUCAAGUUCAGACAUGUUACAGGAUUGUCUUUCAGUUCCCUAGAGCAAAGCAAAUGUGCAAAGAUCCUUUCUGUGGUUGCCUUAGGGCCAUUAACAAUUAAAAUAGAAGAUGAUGGGCCUUGUGUCCAUCCUGCUUAGUGUCUAGAACGUUUUCUGCAUGGGAUCACUA